rnacentral:rRNA from 1 species
CCUACGGAGGCAGCAGUGGGGAAUAUUGGACAAUGGGCGAAAGCCUGAUCCAGCCAUGCCGCGUGUGUGAAGAAGGUCUUCGGAUUGUAAAGCACUUUAAGUUGGGAGGAAGGGUUGUAGAUUAAUACUCUGCAAUUUUGACGUUACCGACAGAAUAAGCACCGGCUAACUCUGUGCCAGCAGCCGCGGUAAUACAGAGGGUGCAAGCGUUAAUCGGAAUUACUGGGCGUAAAGCGCGCGUAGGUGGUUUGUUAAGUUGGAUGUGAAAUCCCCGGGCUCAACCUGGGAACUGCAUUCAAAACUGACUGACUAGAGUAUGGUAGAGGGUGGUGGAAUUUCCUGUGUAGCGGUGAAAUGCGUAGAUAUAGGAAGGAACACCAGUGGCGAAGGCGACCACCUGGACUAAUACUGACACUGAGGUGCGAAAGCGUGGGGAGCAAACGAGGUAUUAGACUACCCGUGGUACGUCCACGACCGUAAACGAUGUACCAACUAGCCGUUAGGAACGCCUUGUAGUCGUUUAGUUGGUCGCGAGCGUACCGACGAGUUAAGUUAGUACCGCCGUCGGGGUAGGGUAACGGGUCCGGCCGUUAACGGUUAAACGUUAACGUUAAAGUUAGUAAGUUAGACGGCGUGAGACGUUCGCCGACGGACGACGACGAGGGGAGGUUAGG